CUCCCGUUGAUCCUGCCGGACCCGACUGCUAUCUCAAUGGGACUAAGCCAUGCGAGUCAACGCCGCAAGGCGUGGCAUACGGCUCAGUAACACGUAGUCAACAUGCCCAAGGGACGUGGAUAACCUCGGGAAACUGAGGAUAAACCGCGAUAGGCCAAGAUUUCUGGAAUGGAUCAUGGCUGAAAUCUAUAUGGCCCUUGGAUUGGACUGCGGCCGAUCAGGCUGUUGGUGAGGUAAUGGCCCACCAAACCUAUAACCGGUACGGGCUUUGAGAGAAGGAGCCCGGAGAUGGGCACUGAGACAAGGGCCCAGGCCCUAUGGGGCGCAGCAGGCGCGAAAACUCUGCAAUAGGCGAAAGCUUGACAGGGUUACUCUGAGUGAUGCCCGCUAAGGGCAUCUUUUGGUACCUCUAAAAAUGGUGCAGAAUAAGGGGUGGGCAAGUCUGGUGCCAGCAGCCGCGGUAAU
rnacentral:rRNA from 1 species